GAUGUUGAUUGGCUAUUUGAACUGACGUCAAACAUGGAUGGAUCGCGCAUUUUCAUCUGUUCAUCUGGACUUUCAUCAUGCACGUUUGCUGAUUCAAGUUCAAAACAAGGCUAAUCAAGAUGAUCUGGAAAUAAGAUGGACAUGACUCCAUCCUUGAUGAGAAAGGAUGUUGUGAUCAACAAGCCUCCUGUAAGCCAAAUACUUCAACGUUGGCCUGCACUUUUUAGAGAAAGUCAGGUGUAUCAAGAAUUCAACUGGGUGGUUGGGAAGAACCUUAAGCAAGAAUUUUAUGGGUCUCUUGAUCGUCACUGUCCUCAACUGAUUCAGAUCUUCAGGUCAAAGAGAGGUCUCGCCGGGCAGAUUUUGAGCAAUCUGCUGCAACAA